UGGGGAAUAUUGGACAAUGGGCGCAAGCCUGAUCCAGCCAUGCCGCGUGAGUGAUGAAGGCCCUAGGGUUGUAAAGCUCUUUCAGCGAGGAGGAUAAUGACGUUACUCGCAGAAGAAGCCCCGGCUAACUUCGUGCCAGCAGCCGCGGUAAUACGAAGGGGGCUAGCGUUGUUCGGAAUCACUGGGCGUAAAGCGCACGUAGGCGGACUUUUAAGUCAGGGGUGAAAUCCCGGGGCUCAACCUCGGAACUGCCUUUGAUACUGGAAGUCUGGAGUCCGAGAGAGGUGAGUGGAACUCCGAGUGUAGAGGUGAAAUUCGCAGAUAUUCGGAAGAACACCAGUGGCGAAGGCGGCUCACUGGCUCGGUACUGACGCUGAGGUGCGAAAAGCGUGGGGAGCAAAACAGGAUUAGAUACCCUGGUAGUCCACGCCGUAAAACGAUGGAAGCUAGCCGUCAGGGUGCAUGCAUCUUGGUGGCGCAGUUAACGCAUUAAGCUUCCCGCCUGGGGAGUACGGUCGCAAGAUUAAAACUUAAAUGAAUUGACGGGGUCAUAGCUGUUUCC
rnacentral:rRNA from 1 species